GAGGCAGGAACUGUUCCUCUUCAUUCUCUCUCUUCCAGCACAUUCUCUUUCUUCCAUUCUCUCUCUUCCAGUCCAUGGGACGGGUUCUGAGAGCAGUAUUGGAUGGACUUACUGCCAGUUAGAGGAAACACUGCUGUAUCAGAGGAAACCAGCCUGGGAUAUUCUCAUGAAAGCCUGCCAUGACUGAGGGCACUUCUAGAUAAAGAGGAACUAGAAACAUUUCUGGAUAAAAAGAGCUAUUUUUUUUAUCCUUAUCUCUAAUGCCCUGAUUUGAGGGAGUCAGAAGAUGGAGAAGAAGGAGGACAUUGAGGAAGGUCCAUUGACUAAUAAAUCCCAAUCCCAUCGUUGGUUCUUAAGACCGUGACACAUUGGACUAAGAGGGGCCAAAUCCUCAUUCCCUGAUAGUGACAUCAAAUUAACAAACAGAAACUGGCUAAAAUAAUUUUUGUAAGAAUUCUAGGAAAACAAAAAACUUCACCAACCAAAGGAAUGCUUAUUCAAGAAAAAUGCCAAAUCAAAAUAGUAUCAAAUUUUGUUGUGUUUUAGUUGCCCUUGCCCCACCCAUUUCUGCACAAAAUGAUUUUGAGCUGGAGGAGGUGGCAUUCCAGUUCCUAGUUCCCUCCCUCGAACCAAAGAGAGCAAAACAGCCAUGUCCUGCAAUGUUCUCACCUGUCCGGGGGCUCCCUGGAGGACUAGUCUCUAUAUUCACUACCUUGAAUCUCAGGUUGGGAUCCAAGAUUUGGAAAAGCAGCAGGGAGACCGAUUCCUACAGAUACUUGGAGAAAGACUUUACAGGUAGAGACAUAAAAUAGACCACCUAAGACUCCAAGGAGAAGCUGGGGUAAGAUCCCUUUGGAAAUUACAACAUAGAAAAUCAUCCAUGUAUAAGGAGACAUUUUAAAAAGUCACACUCAGACCCAGGCAAGACAUAUACUCAGAAAAAAACUGGAGAAGAACUUAAGCCUUAAUGCUGGGUUAAUUCCAAGGUAAAGAACAUAUCUAGCCUAUUGGAAAAGAACUGCUCCAGCACAGACCUGGUCUGCAAGACUGGGAGAGUUGGCUGUUUCUUCCACCCACCUUCUCCACCAAAAUCACAAGGCAUGAAAAGAAGCAGAACAACAUGGCUGAUUCAAAGAAAGAAAAUAAAGUGACAGAAAUCAUCUCUAAAACUACAUGUAUUACCUACUAGACAAAGGCUUUAAAACAACUCUCUUCAAUGUGCUCAAAGAGCUUAACAAGAAAUAUGGACUUGGAACUAUAGGAAAUCAGCAAAAAAUAUUAACAAAAUGAGAUUAUCAACAAAAAGAUAGAAAUAGUAAGGAAUUAACCAAACAGAAAUUCUGGAAAUAAAAACUACAAUAUCUGAAUUGAAAAGUUCCAUGAAGGCUGUCAACAGCAGAUUUGAGCAGGCAGAAGAAAUAAUCAGCAAACCUGAAAAUAGGAUCUUUGAAAUUAUCAAGUCUGUGGAGAAAAGAGAAAAAAGUGAAAAGCCUAAGGGACCUAUGGGGCAGUAUUCAAAAAACAAAAAUAUAUAUUACAGAGUCUCAGAAGGAGAAUACAGAGAGAAAUACAUGGCUUAUUUUAAGAAGUAACAGUAAGAAAUUUUCAAAUUUGAGGAAAAACAAGAAACGCAAACCCAAGAAACUCAAUAUAUUUCCAGUAUAAAAAUCCCACAGAAACCCACACAGAGACACAGUCUAAUCAAACUGUUGAAAGUCAAAAGAAAAUAUAGAAUUUUUAAAGAAGCAAAAUAAAAAUGAGUCAUCAUGUGCAAGGAAUCCUCAAUAAGAUUGGUGGGCCCCGAUCCACUCUGACUGGACUCCUUAAAAGAAGAGGAGAUAAGACUUGGAGACCUCAGAGGUGUGUGCACACAGACAGAUGACCACAUGAAGAGGCAGCCAGAGGGAAGCCGUCCUCAGGCCAAGAAGAGAGGCCCCAGAGAAAACCAACCAUGCCAGCACCUUGAACAUAGACUUGCAGCCUCCAGUACUGGGGGAAAAUAUAUUUUUGUUGUAUAUAUACAAAUAUAUUUUUGUUACACAAUCUGUAGUAUUUUGUGAUGACCCUAGAAAACUAAUAUAGCAAUCAGCAGUUUGGUUUGGAAAUGUUACUUUCAAGACCUUACUGGACCUUGGUGUGUAGAUGCUAACUAGGUCGUUGGAUUUGCAACACAGGGAAGGAACAUCACUGGACUGAUCAGUAAUUUUUGGAAUUUCCAGUUUGUAGAUGAUAUUUAAAGGAAUUGACAUGGAUACAUAAUGAAUAGAGAGACUGUACAGAGAAAUAGUAAGAAAGCCCAGUAACAAGUUUCUGAAAUUGUCAAUUAUAAUGAGCUCAUGCAUUGCAUUGGCAUAAAUUGGGGGAAAAUACAUAAUCCAAAUUGAGUUUAAAACUGUAUAUAAUAUUCUUUAAAUUUUUUUAAAUGACUGUUCCUUUCUUCAGACUAAGGUUUUGCAUUAUACAUAUUUCUCAUUUUUUUGCAAACUAAAAAUCUUGAAUUUAUAAUUUAUGUUUUUUACUUUGAAAUAUUCAUUUUAAAUAUAUCUUCCACAUAAAAUCCUAUUUUCUAAAAUAUACUUUUCUAAUCUUAACAGAGAAAACAUCACUCUCACGUAAUUAAAUAUGUUCUCUUGAGUCAAUAAAUUCAAGAAGAUUAUAUAAAUAUUUUAUUUAAAAUAAAUUCCAAAAGCACUUAUAUGAUUUAGUAAAAACUAUAUUAAAUUUUUAUUUCGAGGUAAUCUGGAAGAUACAUAUGCAUAUUCAUGAAUAACAAAUUGCUCAACUAUUCCUAUAUUAAACAUGAAUAAUAAGAAAAUAUUUACUACAUUUUUUUCUGAUCUCAAGUACUGCACUGCAGUUCGUCAAAUAGUACUAAAACCCUUAAAAAGAAAAAAAUUUAUUAUAAAGACUAAUGUCAUAAUGUAACAGUUUUGUAGACUGCUACUCUGAGUCAUAGCAGGAAUAGGUUGUUCAGUUUUUCAUCAAAUUUCUAACAACAUUUUAGGAAUCAGGUUCACUAUAUUCUGGUUGCCACUUCAAUCCAUUGCAUCUUGGGCUGCAAUUUCUACUACUCGUACUAGUAUGAUGAGGUUGAACAUUUACACAGUGCUUACAGAAAGCCAUGCAACUUUAUUACUCACAGAUAUGCAGCAAGGGAAAAUAGAAGCCUAGAAUUUAUGGCAAGCUGAUCACCCAAGGCUCAGGCAAACUGCCCAUGGAGAAUGGAUGGAUUCUCAUCUAUGUGUGCCCUAUUUCACAGUAGCUGAUGGACCUCGGAAAGCAGCCUGCCUUGGAUUUUACACCCCAGGGUGACGUGAAAUGUUGGGCUAAAACAUUGUAGGACAUCUUGUUAUAGGAAGAACUGGAACAGAGCCUGGCCUAUUUUGGCCAGUUCUAGCUUAUCACAAGAUGUGGCUUUUCCAGCAUGUUCUGCAACUAUUCUGGAAAACUACAAGUGAGAAAGGGGAAAUAACUGGGUCAGUCCAAGAGCUGAAGAAUUGUUCUGCACAUUUAUGUGAGAAAAUAUGGUAAUUAAUAUUUACUUAAUCCCUAUUAUAUUCUAAGCGUUAGUUAGCUUUGAGCACUUUCACACUGAUUUCAUAC